ensembl:lncRNA
GCAUUGGACAAGGCUAAACCAAAUACUAGUAGCAUGUGUUGUUAUCUCUGUUUAGAGUGUCAGUCACUAUAAAGCACCUAAAAAGCAUUGAGAAGAAGGCCCAGACUACUCUAGCUGAGCUGAAACCCAGGAUCAUAAGGAUUUUGGACAAGAAUGAGGAUCAUCAUCAAUCAACGUAUGGAGUCUAAUUUGAAAUACAGGUUUGUUAUGUUCCUGUUCCAAUUCACAGAGAAUCGUGAGUUCUGUGCUCAUAGAGGUGUAACCCAGCACCAGCUGCCACAGAUGCAGAACCAGAGGCAUUCAAGUCUGUAUCUUGCCCAGCAUUGUGAUCGUUAGCAGCAAAAUUGAGCGGUGUCUAAGCCCAGUGAGCGCUGUUUCGGUUUUCCUGCCUUAUUCUUUAUCUCGCUUAGAAAACCACUGAGAGCAGAGAGAAUGACUGCCCUUUAUCAAAUAAUGAUAGCUGAUGAAGAGGUAUAAGCUGUACGCUGCUGAAGGGUGAUUUAACCAGCAGUGCUAUCUGGUUGCAUCACGUUAGUACUGUACGUGCACCGUGGCUUUAGCAUCUCCCUUGAAUUCCAACAUUUUUCAAUGACCGUGAAGCGCCAUUCGUGUGCAUCACGACCUGAGUGACUUCAGCACCUCCCUCCUUCCUGAACUCUAAAACUCACACCUGCCUGGUCCUUACUUCUGUUUGUCCACUUAAUUCUUUCCCUGCUCAAAAGAUAAACGAGGCUCUCCAAAUGCUGGAGUUUAGAAAAUCUUCUGUCGCUGAUGGUUUCUUAAGAAGGAAUUCUGAAGGGGAGAAUGAUGCUUUCUUGUCCGGGAGGGUUUGCGCGGACAGGUGUAUGAGGAUCGACACAAAGACAGCCCACAAACCGGCAGCUUAACAUGUGUGUCCUUGCGUUGUAUUUGCAUUAUCUGCACACAGGGCGUAUCUUACAAUCAAUUGUUUUUUUCUGUGUUUAAAAUCUCACUUGCUUUCCACUGGUUUAUUUGUGAGGGCACGGUUUCUGUGGGGUUUUUUAAUGGCUUUCUGCUUUUAAAUAUUCCGCCUGUUUGGAUUGCUCAGAUGCAUGAGGUGACAGGAAGAGCCGUUAAUGUUUAAACCUUUGCCAUUUUCACCUCCUCUUCGUUCCUUUGUGAUGUAAGAAGUGGCACUCGAUUUUAAAAUGGGCACAAAUUAAGCAGCAUCUAAGGAUUUACUACCUUAAUUACAAUAAUCCCUAAAGGAUUAUUCAGAGAUAGGUCCUAACUAAAGUUUUAAACUUAGCCAUGCAUUUUAAAUCAGGAGCAGACUGAUUUCUGGUCCGGCAGCAGAAGGCGAUGCUCAGGUUUGGGAAUUCUUUGGAUAAACCUCGAGGUCGAGAAAACAGUCUGCUUCCGAAAACACAACCACCGAUACACUGUUUUUAUUGGUAAACUGCUUGCCCAGAGGUGUCGUAGUAUUUCAUGACUUCUCAAUAAUUCAGUGUCUAAGUGCUGUGGAAAAGACUCAGAUAAGCAAAGAGAAAAAGUGAGGGAGGGGGGGAGAGGCUGCCUGCCAAGGCCAGGACAGUGAGAUUUCCAGGCAGGUUUUUUUACACCAUCCCACAGCCUUGGAUGUAAGAAGCAGGUAAAGUUCUGCGGUUAUUUUCAGUUGAGGAGAUUCCUACCAUCCAGGUGUUUCAGCCACUGAUUUUAGUGAAGGAUCUAUUAAAAUAAAAGAUUGUCCAAACUUUAUGAACUGCA